UACGAAGGGGGGCUAGCGUUGCUCGGAAUCACUGGGCGUAAAGGGUGCGUAGGCGGGUCUUUUAAGUCAGAGGUGAAAUCCUGGAGCUCAACUCCAGAACUGCCUUUGAUACUGAGGAUCUUGAGUACGGGAGAGGUGAGUGGAACUGCGAGUGUAGAGGUGAAAUUCGUAGAUAUUCGCAAGAACACCAGUGGCGAAGGCGCUCACUGGCCCGUUACUGACGCUGAGGAGCGAAAGCCAGGGGAGCAAACGGG
rnacentral:rRNA from 1 species